GGGACGGAGACCCCGCCCCUCAGAACCAGCUCUGGCCGGUCCGCGGCCUCCGACCCACCUGUACCGCUCUUCUGGACACCUCCGCCCCCCUUCAAAAGUUUGGACCAUUUCAUCGCUCUUCUAGUGAGUAUCACCAGGUUCCCCUCCUCUCUUGAUGGGGGUCAGGAUCCGGCCUCACUCCCUGCCACACACUUUGUCACAACUGCCUGAAGAGCAGCAUGGCCUUGGCUCUGAUGCCCCCGCAGGAAACCCAGGCCACAGGACACGUGCACUUGGGCUUGAGCGUGAUGGCGGUACCCCUGGCAGGUGUAUUGGGGCCAGAUGACACGGGAGGACGGGCAUCCUGUGUGGGGACAAGCGAGAACCCCGUUUUUGUGCCGACGGAGCAGGCCUCUGUGACAAAGAACCACAGCCCGGCCGCUAGACAGCACCCGUGCUCACGUAGUCUUGGAGCCUGCAGGUCCGAGGGCUGGUUCCCAAUGCGCCAUUCUCCUGGGCUGGAUCUCCAAAUGCAGUCACAUUCAAAAAUAUUUCUACUGCUGAGAAAUGAAAGCACUGACAACUCUGGGACUUCAGGGGCGCCUGGGGGGCUCAGCUGGGUGUCCGACUGCGGCUCAAGUCAUGGUCACAUGGUUCGUGAGUUCAAGCCCCGCGUCAGACUCUGUGCUGACAGCUCGGAGCCCGGAACU